UAAGAACUCUAGACUAGGGACUCCCUAAGUUUCCAUCCCAUCCUGUAACUCGUUAAACACACCUAUACUUGCCAAAUGUCAUGUGCUAGGGAUAAAAAACAGAGCUUGCCCUCAGCAUAUUGGGGAAAACAGAUAUGACUGGUAAGAAAGGCAUUGAAAGGACCAAAGAGAUCGACCAAGGAAUACCCACAGAAGAUUCUUCCUCCUCUAAUCUGAUUUCACCUGCACAAAUCAAACCAAAAUGGGCCAAGGGAAGAGAGAGCUGACAGUUUUAGAAGCAAACCAAGCAGAGGGUUGGAGCAUGAGAUCAACGCCUCAAGUCUUCCACCUCCUUGCAAAUGCUUCCUGUAAAUUAUCUGGACCACUGUGACAGUAGAAUAACAAAAUGUCACAGGUAGAAGGGCUAUAAAUUAUCGAAUGCAACCUCCUCCUUAUACAUAGAUAAGGAAACUAUUCUGGAGAUGUAAUAUAACUUGUCUAAGGCUACCACACAAAAUGCAGAUUGGAAUCCAGUUCUACUGACUCCCAAUCCAAUUUUCUUCACACCAAAUGGAUAGAUGGAUGCUGCCCUAUGAGAGUCUGUGCAUGGAAACCUAGUCCCACAGUGCCUUGAGAAGAGGACUGGCAACCACCUCUUUCCAGAUUUCUCCUGCCCUCAUGCUGGUGAGAGGAGUCUGACUGGGAGGAGGAAAAGUGCCCAAGGAUUCCAACACAGGUAGGGGGGCCUGACUGACUGCCUCUAACUGUUUCCCACCAUCUGAGGAAGAAUUCCAAAAUUAAACUGCAACCAAGUACAGAGGGAUGGAUAUCGGGGACAACCUGGAGAAAUCAAGGCCAGUUCAGUCUUAGAAUGAGACCACCAGAGCCCUACUGAAGUGGGUGAGCAAACUAAACAUGAAAAUGGAAAUAAUCACCAGAGCCAGUCUGUCACCUCAAGAUACAUGUGGGUCGGUUGUUUUGGGGUGCUCCACACUCAUGGUAGAGGAAUGUACUUGCAAUAAGGGCUGGGACUGGAGGGAGCUCUAGGAACUGGAGACCAUGCUGGGGCAUCACUGAUGAUGUCAUAAUGUGGCACUGAAUGAUGAUUGGAGGAGCAGGGACCGACAUUCAUGGCUUAGGUCAAAGCCAAGAGAGAGUUUCCUGUAGCUAAGAUCUCUAAAUCAACUCCCCUUAUGUAAUAAGUUGGCAUUUUCUUGGUCAUCCUGCAGGUUCUUCCCUGGAUAGUAUGGAGAUAACCUUAGCACAAGACUUUUCCUUUGAUGAUGGGGGAAAUACUGGUAUUUCCUCUCUGGUGUCUAUUUGAUGGUGGCUUAAAUAAGAGAGAAUAUUGAGAGAGAACAUUUCCAGGAGACUAAAGCCAAAGUAAAUAUGAACUCAGAGUUAAAGGAUUAAAGGGAAGAAAUUGGGGAGAUGAUGUGCGUACCAUUGCAGAAUAAAUGGAGAGGAAGGCAGCACCCAAGAAAACAGAAAGCAGGAAAGAGGCUUGAGAGUGAAGCCAACAAGGUUUAAUUUGCUGUGAGAAACAAUGGAAAGCCAGGCUUCUGAAGUCCAAUGGUGGGGAGUACCAGAUCAAGAGUCAGAAAUCAUGGCUCUGCUCCUCUCUAGCUGGUGGCCCUGGGUGACCCAUCAAGUGUGAUCAAAUGUCUUCAAUCAAUUUAAAUACACUUUCUAUGUAAUGUCAUCCAGGUCAUCCAGUGGCCAUCCAGGACAUCUAAGUUGAUCAAGGACUUUUUGGAACUUAAUCUAAAGCCUGAUUGUUGAUUGAUUGAUUCAAUGGAAAAGUAUUCUCACUUAGUUAAGAGUUCACACCCUCAGAAACUGAACCCUGUGAUUGGACUCUGUGAAGAGGGGAGGAGACAAGAAGCCACUGUAAAAGACCCUGAAUUUCUGAGGCUAGAGGGACGUCCAAGAAGUCAGCUUCAAGGAGUUGGACUUCAAGAAGGAAGUUGGGCUCAGGAAUCACCUUCAGCUCCAGUCAUUGUCUAGACCAACCUCUUGGAAGGAACUUGGGUGAGUGGAUAGCUGGCUUUCCCUUCCUGUCUUUUGGAGAGAGUUUAAUUUGGUUGAAGGUCAACAAGUCCUGGCUGAGUAGGUUAAUGUCUUCUUUACCUUUUUGUAUUUCUCUUUCACUCUUUCCACCUUUUUUGGGAUAAAUAAAAGCUAUUAAAGGUCACUUCAACUUUGAGCAAUAAUACUUUAAUCAUAUAUUUUAGUCAAAUCCUUAAUUUAACCCUUACAGUGGAGAGCUUCUCCUAGAAUCUCCACAUAAGGAGGAUGUUCAUGUCAGCCAUCUUUUCAUUUCCUAUCUGACUACACUCUGGACUUUAGUAUCACAGUCCAUGCCAGCUACCUUCCCCUGUUCCUUCCCACUUUUAGUUUACUUUUGUGUAUUGUCCCAGUGCUUGGCACAUAGUAGGUGCUUUUUUUGUAUUUAGCGACUGACUCACUAAAGGUUUGUGCCGGGAGAAUAACCAGCAGGCCAGUUUCUUCCCUAGGUCAGCCCUAACACUUUGCCUCUAUUGUAAUUGUUUCCUAAAUGUUCACACUUCCUCUGGUUUAACCCUUCAUUUCCAAUCUAUCUCCCACAUAGCUAUUAUGUAGUGUAUUUUCCAGGGAUGUACACAUAGAUGAUGAAGUUGAUUCAUACAUUGCCAGAGCCAGCUCAGUGUUUGGAAGGCUCUGAAGGAAAAUGUGAGAGAAGAGAGGUAUUAUUAGGUUGACUAGCAAAUCGAAGGUCUACAAAGCCGUUUGUGCUGAUCUCAUUGUUGUAUGCCUGUGAAACCUGGACAGUGUGCUAUGCCAGGAAACUGAAUCUCUUCCAUUUGAAUUAGUUUAAGAUUAGAAGGAAAGCAGAAAAUUUCUCAGAUAGUGAUGUCAUAUCUACCACAGAGAACUUUGUCAAAUUUAUAAGAAUAUGAGCCAUUCCACGAAAGAUAAAUAAAAGAUAUGAACAGAUAGUUUGUGGAGGCAGAAAUCAAAGCUUUAACCGUAUGAAAAAAGCUCUGAUGGGUUGGCCAUAUUGCUGGAGUGCCAAAAACACAUUUGCCUAAAAGUUUAUUUUAAGGAGAACUCACACAAGGCAAGCAUUCGCUCAGAGGUCAGGAGAAAUAAGACAAAGAUGCUCUCAAGGUCUCUCUGAAGAACUCUGGUAUCAAUUAAUUGUGAAAUGUGGAAAGACUAUCCAGCAUGGGGUGCUCACAUCACAGAAGGCACUGUGCUCCAUGAGCAAAGCAAACUUUUAGUAGUUCAAAAGAAAUAAAUGUGAGAUGCGUAAAUUUUUCAACACUAUAUCCCAAAUGUUUGGAUGGGCUAUUUGUGUCUGACCUGUGGUAGCCUUCUGAGCUGGUCUUGAUGUGAUCAGCCAGUCAGACACACUGUACAUUGUUCCAGACAUUGUGAUAUCAUUUUGGCCGUCUUCACGUACCAAGGAGAAACACCACAUCCACAUAGCUGCUAAGCUGACAUUCUGACCGGGACUUUCUUCCCUCUCACUCAAAAAUCUUCAGCAACUCCUUAUGGCCUCUGUCACAACAAAUCCUUAAUCUUACCCUGAUGGCUCUGGCCAAGCUUUCCAAUCUGAUUUCCUAUCAUUCUCCAUCCUGGGAUUUUGGACUUUGGACUGAUGCACAUUUAUUUCCCUUAUCUAACCCACCACAGGACUUCCCAGUUCUCCUCAGGCUACGCUGCCCUUUUCAAACCCCUACCCCAACCCACUCCCUUUCCACCUCAAACUGAUAGUAGUUAGUCAUUUAAAUCAACAGCACCAUUCCCAGAAAGGACGCCUCAACUCCAAUCAUUAUCCCUCUAAUUUUCCUGUCCAAAAUAGAUAAGAAACUGUGGUUAGAGAGAAGGGAACAGAUAUAAGAAGUUGUGCAGGUAGGAUGAAGGGAAGGGAAGGGAGAGGAAAAGAGAACAGAAGGGAAGGUGAAGGGAAGGGAAGAAAGAAAAGAGGGCCCAGGAAAGUGUUUAGGUCUGACAAUAUAGAGUUGAGAGUCAUCUGCAUAGAAAUCAUUGAUCCCAAAGGAACUGAUGAAGUCAUGAAGUGAAAAAUUAUAGAAAUUAACAGGCCCAAAACAGAGCUUUGGGGGACACCCACAUUUAGUAAACAGGAAGAGAAUUUGGUAAACUAAACAAGGAAUGGUUAAGAAUGAAUCAAGGCAAAGCCACAGCCCAGAAGCCAGUGGGGAAGGUGGUGGUGGUGGUGGUAACCAGGAGGGAGUGUCUGAGGACAUUUUUUUUUUCAUUUAAAACAAAGAAAAGAGACAGUUCCUCUGUUUAAGAGCAACUGCAGUCUACUCAGAAUAAUCAAGUUCUCUUUUAAGGGGUGUCAUGGAGCUUAAGGAAUUAAUAUUCAGAAAGCUGUCUGGGGGAUCUUUAGAUGGAAGUCAUAACAGAAAGUGCAAAGAGUUACUAGUGAUGCUGUAAAUAUUUUAACAGCAGCAGAAAGUUUUACGGCUUUACCAAGGCUGCACACUUUGGGGCCUAACAUUUUUGCUGUUUCUGAGAAACAGAGAAUUUGGGAACAAUAAUCAGAGUACGAGAGAAGGGUUCAGGGUUUCCCCUCUUGGUAGAUCAUAAAUACUUUUUGAUUGAAUGACUGAUUACUGUCUAAUCAUGGGAGAGGAAAAUGGAUCAUAGAUUCAGGUGAGUCAGCAGAAGAAACUGAGCAUUUAACUGGCACCCUUGUACUGGGCCACCUUCCAAAAUAUAGACGUGCACACCCAAGAAUCAAAGUCUCUGGAUUUUGGGUCAGCAGCUAGCAGGUGCCAAAGGAGGAGAGAGCCCCAGCCCAGGACUGGUUUACCAAGCUGUUGGGUUCCUCUAGUUUGCCAGCACACAGGCCACAGAGAACCUCUGAUUUCAGUGACCUGCCAGGCUUUCUGCUGAUUGACACUAGAUGGUGAGAAAGAGUGGGGAAGAAGAGAAAGCUCAGGGAGAAAAGACAAGAACUAAGACCUCCUCUUUUCUAUAAUGAACUCCACCUGUUCAUAGCUUGUAUCUACCACAGCUGCAUGCAUUUUCUACUAAGGAUCAUAGCUUUAGCUCUAGAAUCCACCUAGUCCAAUUUCCUCAUUUUACAAAUGAGUAAACAGCAGAGUUAAUAAUUGAACACAUAUAGAACUACUUCAGAAGGCAAAGAAGUCAUGCACGAAGGAUCUAGUGCAGAUUCCACUUUCUAUCGAUCUCUCUGUCUCUUUGUCCAUCUAUUUUUCUGUCUAUAACUUCCUAAUUUUGAGAUGAGUGAUAAUCAUAACUGACAAUCCUUUAAGGCAGCAGUUCUCAAACUUUUUGGUCUCAGAUCUCCUUUACAUUCUAAAAAUUAAGGACUUUAAUGAGUUUUCUUUAUGUGGAUUAUAUUUAUUGAAAUUUACUGUAUUUGAUUUUAAAACUGGUAACAAUUUACAAAUAUUUAUUCAUUUUAAAGUACAAUACCAAUAAUAAACCCAUUACAUGUCAACAUAAAUAACAUUUUUAUGAAAAUAGCAAUUUCCAGAACAAAACUAAAAAUUUAGUUUGAAGACUGUUAAUGUUUUGCCCUUUUUUUUUUUGUUUUUGCAAAUCUCUUUGAUAUCUGGUUUAAUAUAAGAUAGUUGGACUUUCCUAUCUGCUUCUGCAUUCAGUCUUUUGUGACAUGUUGCUUUGGUUGAAGUCUAUGAAGAAAAUCUGACGUCAUACAGAUAUGUGGUUAGAAAAGGGAAAAUAGUUUCACAGGCGAAUAACAUUUUACUAUUACUAUGAAGAUAGUUUUGACCUCAUGGACUCUUUGAAAGGCUUUUGGGGAACCCCAGGGAUCCAGAGAUAAUACUUUGAGACCUACAUGCUUUAAGGUUUGCAAAACGUUUUAUAAAUAUAUAGCCUAUAUCAAAUACAUGAUAUGUAUGGCAUAAACAUCUCGUGAAAUAACUACUAAUAGUAGCACUUUAAAGUCAGACAGAGCAAAGAAGAAAGGGAGAAUUCCAACCACGGUUGUCCUCUUUCCAUGUUUAUUGGCAGCACACCAUUCCGGACCCUCAUCACCUCUGAGUUGGUUUUCUAACUUGUCUCCUCGACUCUAGUUUCUUCCUGCUCUAGUUCAUCAUCCAGAAAACCAUGAUCAGACAGCAUUCUGAUUAUAAUAAUUCUCCAGGUGGGAGAGUGCCAGGCCUUCCUGACUCCGGGAAUUCUAAUAAUCAUGUUCCUCAAAUCCUGCCUGGAAUCAUGCCAUUGGCACAGGGUAGAGGGUAUGGCGUGUGAGGACAUCCCUGGGUCCGAGUCUAUUGAUUGGAUGGCUAUGUGCUUCUUAAAGAUGGGGAUUCUGAAGAAAAGAAAAUGAUCUUUGUUUCCAAUGAAUAAUGUUUGGAAAUGACCAAAUUAAAAUAAAAAAAAAGAUAAGGAAAAAAAAGAUGGGGAUUCUGAAGAAAAGAAAAUGAUCUUUGUUUCCAAUGAAUAAUGUUUGGAAAUGACCAAAUAAAAAUUAAAAAAAAAAGAAGGAAAAAAAA